rnacentral:lncRNA from 1 species
CAAUUUUAUAGCUGCUCACACAAAGGAGGAAUCAAGCCAUAUAAAAACAUUCUAAAAGUUUAUCUUGAUUGUUCCUUGGACAGAAUGUUGUGUAAAGUGGCCAUGCAAAGCAUCGAACAAAGCAUCAGUAGAGGAAACAGUAGCCAAACUGACCUGAAUCGAUGUAAUAUAAUCAAAUAACGUCCUCUAAUAGUCAACGCAGCACGAGUUUUGUCUCUCCCUUUACUUUAUAGACUUGCACACUAUCUCUCACUGACUAAAAGGAAAAACCCUCUCCCCAUCAAUUUCUUGUACUAGAAGUUACUAUCGCAAGGAAAAUGCUGCCUCACCCCCAAGGGAUGAAGGCAGCAUUAGCAAUUUGCUGAAUAAGGGUCCUGUUUAUAUGAUCCCACUAGGACGAGAUAUGAGGCAGGAUGAUUUCGAUAUACUGAAUUAAAUCACGGUGCAUGAUUCAGUAAACAGGGACGUCGCUACAGGGUGUGUGUGGAGNNNNNNNNNNNNNNNNNNNNGAUUGUUCCUUGGACAGAAUGUUGUGUAAAGUGGCCAUGCAAAGCAUCGAACAAAGCAUCAGUAGAGGAAACAGUAGCCAAACUGACCUGAAUCGAUGUAAUAUAAUCAAACCACGUCCUCUAAUAGUCAACGCAGCACGAGUUUUGUCUCUCCCUU